AAUUCCGUAGGUGAACCUGCGGAGGGAUCAUUACCGAGUUUACAACUCCCAAACCCCUGUGAACAUACCAAUUGUUGCCUCGGCGGAUCAGCCCGCUCCCGGUAAAACGGGACGGCCCGCCAGAGGACCCCUAAACUCUGUUUCUAUAUGUAACUUCUGAGUAAAACCAUAAAUAAAUCAAAACUUUCAACAACGGAUCUCUUGGUUCUGGCAUCGAUGAAGAACGCAGCAAAAUGCGAUAAGUAAUGUGAAUUGCAGAAUUCAGUGAAUCAUCGAAUCUUUGAACGCACAUUGCGCCCGCCAGUAUUCUGGCGGGCAUGCCUGUUCGAGCGUCAUUUCAACCCUCAAGCCCCCGGGUUUGGUGUUGGGGAUCGGCGAGCCCUUGCGGCAAGCCGGCCCCGAAAUCUAGUGGCGGUCUCGCUGCAGCUUCCAUUGCGUAGUAGUAAAACCCUCGCAACUGGUACGCGGCGCGGCCAAGCCGUUAAACCCCCAACUUCUGAAUGUUGACCUCGGAUCAGGUAGGAAUACCCGCUGAACUUAAGCAUAUCAAUAAGCGGAGGA
rnacentral:rRNA from 1 species